AGAGUGAACGCUGGCGGCAGGCCUAACACAUGCAAGUCGAGCGGCAGCGCGGGGGCAACCCUGGCGGCGAGCGGCGGACGGGUGAGGAAUACAUCGGAAUCUGCCUUGUUGUGGGGGAUAACGUAGGGAAACUUACGCUAAUACCGCAUAAGACCUGAGGGUGAAAGCGGGGGACCGCAAGGCCUCGCGCGACAAGAUGAGCCGAUGUCCGAUUAGCUAGUUGGUGAGGUAAAGGCUCACCAAGGCGACGAUCGGUAGCUGGUCUGAGAGGAUGAUCAGCCACACUGGAACUGAGACACGGUCCAGACUCCUACGGGAGGCAGCAGUGGGGAAUAUUGGACAAUGGGGGCAACCCUGAUCCAGCCAUGCCGCGUGUGUGAAGAAGGCCUUGGUUGUAAAGCACUUUUGUUCGGGAAGAAAUCUCACGAUUUAAUACGUCGGAGGAUGAGGUACCGAAGAAUAAGCACCGGCUAACUCGUGCCAGCAGCCGCGUAAC
rnacentral:rRNA from 1 species